CAAGAGAUGUGUUUAAACACUUGAAGGACAUGCACACAAUGUGUCUGCUGUCUGUUUCCAUCUAGAACUACCUAUUAUAAUUACUGGCUCAGAGGAUGGCACAGUUCGCUUGUGGCACUCUACAACCUACAGGCUUGAGAACACUCUUCAUUAUGGUCUUGAGCGAGUUUGGGCUUUAGGAUACAUGAAGGGGUCAAGAAGGAUUGUGAUUGGAUAUGAUUUAGGG